UUUUAUUCCUACAGGCAUUAAUUUUUUUUAGAUAGUUUGAAGAAAAAUAAUACUAUCAGUUUAUAUUGAAUAUAGCCUUCAUAAUUAAUAACUUUGAUUUGCUGUCGUAAAAUAUGUACAUUGAUGUGAUACACACAAUCAUUGGAACCAGUUUGGUAAUUGCCUCUGGCCGGUGCAAAAUUGUAUAUACCUCUAAAAAACAUAUUUUGCCAACUUAGCAACUUUUCAGACCCCUUUUGCGACUUUUUUUCCUAGAAAGCGCGUCGUGACGAAUAUACUUGUUAACCUGAUCUAGCUUCCGAGACCCACCGGUACUGCCACAUGAGCGCAAUAUUUUGCUUGCUUUCACCUCUCUCUGCGUCUGCUGUUCAGUGAGUGGCUGAGAGGAGCAGCGCAUUCAGUUGAGGAUGUGCGCUCUGUCAGAGAAGAAAUAAAAUAGAUACUAUUGCUUCUAACCUGACUGAGUGAUCAUUUUACAUGUACAUAAAACGUUAGCCAAAAUCACAGCAACUGUCUUUAUCUUAUGUGUAUUGUGAUUUUGUCAGACAACGUCUUGAUUAUAAAUCAGGAUUUUAGUGCCGGUUUAACAUGUCAGGGCUCAACACUAACGCUUUUCAAUUAGUCCGGGAUACGUGGAUUUUUUGAAGGGGCAAGUGAAAGAGAAUUUUACUUGCCCGGCCGGACAAGGACCUGCUUAAAACAUCAAUACUAAACAUUUAGCGACAUGUAUAUGGCAUUAAAAAAAAAAAAAAUGGCAUUAAAAAGGCAUUAAAAAGCAUUAAAUUAGAUUUGAUGAAACCUGCAGAAACCCUGAAUGUGAUCAAACAUUUUUUGUCUGACAGAUGAAAAUUCACAUAGGCUCAUUUUGAAGGAGUCAACUAUUGACCAUAAUAUCAUAAGAAUCCACUAAGAUGCUGCCUAAAGCCCCCUAGCAACCAUUUAGCAAUGCCCUAUAACCCAGAAAACCCUAGCAAUGUAGCUGAAGCUUCAGAGUAGAGAAGCACCACGUUUUCUUCGGAAAAUGUAAAACCUAGUAAAGCUACAAUCACACUCUUAGAAAAAAGAUUGAAUGAGGUUCUAUACAGAACCACAGGGUUCUUGACUCAAUUUUAAAGAACACUUUAUGCCAAAAAGAUUCUAUAUAAGAAGAAAUGUCAUAAAUGAUUAUACUGUUAAGUUCACAAAGGGUUAUUUCAUUUUUUUCUCAGUUCUGUUUUAGUGCUUGUAAUGCAAUGUCUCUUAAUUCGUCUAUUUUUUUCUUUUUUUCAGGUUUCUUUUUUCCUUUCACAUCUCUCUUUCGCUCUAUGUCUUUCUUGACCUUGCGGAGCACCCAUGAUUGAUGGGUUGGGGACAAUGUUAUAGCAGGUUCUGUACGUUCUAGAUUAAUGAUGUUUGGCUCAGAUUUACAGGUAUUUGGCUGUAAAACUGCCUCUGUUGUAUGGACAUCAUAGACAAUUUUUAAAGUAAAAGCUGUCAAAAGGUUAUUCAGGAUGUAGGACAUACUGAAUCUGUUUCUUUUCAAUACUGCUGAAUUUGUGCGUGUGUGUGUGUGUGUUCAUUCUGUCCUCUACUGGACAAGAGCAGUUAUGACAGGUGCCCAACCACUCCCCAAAGGUCCAACCCUGUUAGUCAACAUUCACAGACAACACAUCUCAGACAGAUAUUGCUGAUCUAGGAUCAGGUUGGACCUGUCCGUUGUUACUUUACUUUAAAAUGUAAACUGAUCCAGAAACUGGAGUUGUAGUUUGACAUUCACCAGGGGGCAUGACAUCAGACCUUAUUUAGUAUGUGCUUCAGACAGGGAGGUGUAUGUUGUGACGGAUGGUCUGGGCUUGGGCUUGGGCUGGGCUGGGGCAGGUGGAGGGAUGUUUUUGACUACCGCCAGAUGACACUUGUCCCUCACACAACUGACCUCUAAAGGCUUUAAGUAAUUUUGGUAUAUUGCGGAUUUAGUUAAUAUGCAGUGUACAUAUUAUAAUGUUAUCAUCAUUAUACUGAAACCAUUUACAAACAUUUUGUUUACUUAUUUACCACAUAUUUAUUCAUACGAUCAAUAUGCAUUUGUGCUUUAAUUACAAAUGAAAAAUUGAUUGCAAUUGACAACUUGUUUCUCAUUAAAAACCUUUUGAUCUAAAAAUUACUUAACUGCUUAACAUUAGUUUUGUCAAGAAUGGAAAGGUGUAAUCCAGACAAAGUGUGGCUACUUAAGGUAGGUUUGUGUGUGUGUGUGUGUGUGUAUAUAUAUAUAUAUAUAUAUAUAUAUAUAUAUUUAAGUAUUUCACGUGCAUAUAAUAUACUAAUAUAAUACUGCCAAAGUAUGCAUAUAAUCUUUCCUUAGGUGUGAAAUUACUUACAGGAAAUUACUACAUUAUUUGAGAUGGCGCUACGAAGAAGCAUUUAAUAAAGUGGAAUAGAAUGGGACAGCGCUUCUAUUCAUGUAACGCAGACCUGUGGUCAUGGUUGCAUGCCAUGUGCAGUAACUCACUGCUGCUCUCAAACUGUAGCCAUAAUGUGCCAUUAUCUUCCACGCAAAUUUGUAUUUAAUUUGUUUGAGACUGUUUGUUGUGAUUACUUGAGUAUAUGAAGGCCAAGGAUCUCGCUACACUACUGUGGGACGGGACGUAAAUCCUUUUAAACACAGGAAAGGACAGCAAAGGAGAAGAACAGAGGAAGGGAAGCGAAAAAUAAUAGGAGUGUGCUUCUUCUGCUGUUUAAUCUCCAGACAGUCCCUAAUUUCUCUAAUUAUCAAGCUGCUAAGCAAACAGAGGCAAGCAGGCAGGAAUUGGCCGUCUCCUGCAGCUUACACUUCGGGGGGUCGUGUCUAAUUUGAGGGAAGACCCGGUCCAUCUCUUGCACGAACACAUCUAGGGCUAACACACCCCUACCAGCACGGCCCCUCCCUUUCAACCCCUACCCACAUGCACCAGCUUUAUGGCAGAUGGCGUAGUUCACCCUCCCUCUGAACCUCCAUUCUACCCCCACCCUCCGCAGCUUUUGUGCCCCUGUGCGUGCGGUGCUUGGGGGCUGCGACAACAACAGCCCUCCCCACUGCUUCCUCCCGCCCUGUCCCCAUUGUAAAUCGGGUUCUGGCUUCAUGCAUGGCGCUGCAAUCAGGUGCCCUAACAGGGUUGUCAGCACCCAAAAAAUCAUUUUAAUCCCAGUGGUGGUGCGUCAGGGCCACUGGAGUUCGUAGUACUUUCUUGACGCACUUGACCGGGUUUGAUCCCGAACCAUUGGGAGAAUCUCCAGAACAUUCAAAAGGCCUGUUGCAGUACUAUGUUUUCAAUAACUUAUUAUUAACUUGUUUGCUUAAAGGUGCUCAAAAAAGUUUUUGACUGUACUAAAGCAUAAAAAAAAAAAACAUAAUAUGU